rnacentral:tRNA from 1 species
UCUCUGGUGGUCCAGUAGUUGGGACUCUGAGCUCCUGAUGCAGGGGCCACAGGUUCGAUCCCUGCUUGGAGAA